rnacentral:rRNA from 1 species
GACGAACGCUGGCGGCGUGCUUAGCACAUGCAAGUCGAACGGAAAGGCCCUGCUUUUGUGGGGUGCUCGAGUGGCGAACGGGUGAGUAACACGUGAGUAACCUGCCCUUGACUUUGGGAUAACUUCAGGAAACUGGGGCUAAUACCGGAUAGGAGCUCCUGCUGCAUGGUGGGGGUUGGAAAGUUUCGGCGGUUGGGGAUGGACUCGCGGCUUAUCAGCUUGUUGGUGGGGUAGUGGCUUACCAAGGCUUUGACGGGUAGCCGGCCUGAGAGGGUGACCGGCCACAUUGGGACUGAGAUACGGCCCAGACUCCUACGGGAGGCAGCAGUGGGGAAUAUUGCACAAUGGGCGGAAGCCUGAUGCAGCAACGCCGCGUGCGGGAUGACGGCCUUCGGGUUGUAAACCGCCUUCGCCUGUGACGAAGCGUGAGUGACGGUAAUGGGUAAAGAAGCACCGGCUAACUACGUG